rnacentral:rRNA from 1 species
CAAUAGCGUAUAUUAAAGUUGUUGCAGUUAAAAAGCUCGUAGUUGGAUUUCGGGGCAGCCUGGCUGGUCCGCCGCAAGGCGAGUACUGGUCAGCCGCCCUUCCUCUCGAAAGCCCCGACUGCUCUUCGUUGCAGUGGUCGGGUAGUUCGGGACGUUUACUUUGAAAAAAUUAGAGUGUUCAAGGCAGGCCUGCGCCUGAAUACAUUAGCAUGGAAUAAUGGAAGAGGACCUCGGUCCUAUUUUGUUGGUUUCCAGGGCCGAAGUAAUGAUUAAGAGGGACAGUUGGGGGCAUUCGUAUUUAAUUGUCAGAGGUGAAAUUCUCGGAUUUAUGAAAGACGAACAACUGCGAAAGCAUUUGCCAAGGAUGUUUUCAUUAA